AAAACGACUCUCGGCAACGGAUAUCUCGGCUCUCGCAUCGAUGAAGAACGUAGCGAAAUGCGAUACUUGGUGUGAAUUGCAGAAUCCCGUGAACCAUCGAGUCUUUGAACGCAAGUUGCGCCCGAAGCCAUCCGGCNGAGGGNACGUCUGCCUGGGCGUCACG
rnacentral:rRNA from 1 species